rnacentral:misc_RNA from 1 species
AAGUCGUAACAAGGUUUCCGUAGGUGAACCUGCGGAAGGAUCAUUGCAAAAAUGAGAUUGUGAGGAUUUGUUGGAAUGUGCGAGAAAUUACGUUAGACAACAAUACUAUUAUAUUCAUAUACAACUCUCCACAAUGGAUCUCUGGGCUCUU